CUGUCUAGGUAUCCCCUUUUCCCUUAUGAUGCUUUUAUAUUUUUGUUAAGUAUAUAUUAUAUUUCUCUACUUUAUUUGUGAAUCUUUUUUUCAAAAAUGUCAACAAAAGGGAAUGGAUACAUAGAGGACGAUGCUAAAGGUUUUGCAGAUGCCCUGGCAGUAAGUGAAUAGAAAUUACAUUUACAAAAUGCAGGCAUAUUGAUGAUAUUACUGUCAUUGGAGUCUAUAGCUAGCUACUUGCAAUAUCUCUCCCUUUUGAACAACUACAGAGUGAAGGAGCUGGACUUGAGCCACAAUCAGUUCUGUGGGAGAAGUGGGGAGCAUCUGGGGCAGAUGUUAGGUAGAGACCAUUUCACUUUAUGUCUGCAUCUCACAUCAUUACGGUUGAGCAGUCUCAUGGAGUCAUUUGGGUUACAAUCAUUCACAAUGUGAGUGUUUAGCGUUUUGCAUCUGCUGUCACUGACCUUGUAAUCCUAUAGCAAAUUAUGAAGGUCUGGCGGUACUAGACUUAAGCUGGAACAUCUGCAAAUGAAAGGAGCUGUGGCUUUCUGUGCCGGUCACAAGGUGUGGAUAAACAUACUCAUCCCAAUUCCCACAUCCAAAGUGUAAUUGUUCCUUUAAAAAAAAAUAGUUACCGGUAAACAGUAUGUGAUGAAGAUAUUUCCUCUUCACAAAGGUGAAUGUGACCCUGAAACACCUAGACCUGUCCUGGAAUGUCUUUGGGAAUAAGGGGCCUUGACUUUAAGAGAGGCACUGAAAUUCAGCAACACUCUGGUAUUGAAAUAUCUAGACCUCAACUACAACCGCAUCACCAAUGAGGGGGUGGGCAUGCAGUGCAAGGGCUGGAGGCCAACGACACUCUUGGAGUGCUGACAGUAGGUGCUUGAUUGACAGGGCUCACAUCCACUGACCUGUGUGGUGUGGAACUAGGGUGACUUUAGAUGUUUUGUGUCCCUGCAGCUGACUUAUAACUCUCUGACAGUGGAGGGGUGCUGGCUCUUGUCACUGUGGUCAAGAACACGCCCAGAACUGCUCUGGAGGAGUUCAACAUAUCUAAUCCAGUCUAGAGGUGCUGUAUGGAGGUGUCAGAGGCUUUAUCGCUAAGAAAACAUCCAAAUGCCUUGACCCAGGAUUAUCUGGAUCAACAAAAGCUGCACCUUUGGGACUGUCCCAAAAAGAUGGGACAAUGCAAGUGCCUGUAGCAGACUUCAGGAAGGCUGUGCAGCUCUCAAACUAAUUGCUCAUCCCAUAGUCUCUGACAUUUGCAGGGUCUGUUGAGCUAAUGCAUUUCCACUGCUCGAAGAUACCCCGGAAUACCCUCACUUGCAUGUACUCGUAUGAGUGGUUUCUGUAAUGUUAUUCUC